AGACUGGAUAGGAAACAAAAAGGCAUCUUUUUGUUUUUAAAAGACCUUCUUACGAAGGUAUGCUUAAAGAGGGGCUUGCGCCACAUUAGUUAGUUGGUAGAGUAAAAGCCUACCAAGACGAUGAUGUGUAGCUGGACUGAGAGGUUGAACAGCCACAUUGGGACUGAGACACGGCCCAAACUCCUACGGGAGGCAGCAGUAGGGAAUUUUCGGCAAUGGAGGAAACUCUGACCGAGCAACGCCGCGUGAACGAUGAAGUAUUUCGGUAUGUAAAGUUCUUUUAUUGAAGAAGAAAAAGUAGUGGAAAAACUAUAUUGACGUUAUUCAAUGAAUAAGCCCCGGCUAACUAUGUGCCAGCAGCCGCGGUAAGACAUAGGGGGCGAGCGUUAUCCGGAAUUAUUGGGCGUAAAGGGUGCGUAGGCUGUUAGAUAAGUCUAUAAUUUAAUUUCAGUGCUUAACGCUGUCUUGUUAUAGAAACUGUCUUGACUAGAGUGAGAUAGAGGCAAGCGGAAUUCCAUGUGUAGCGGUAAAAUGUGUAAAUAUAUGGAGGAACACCAGAAGCGUAGGCGGCUUGCUGGGUCUUUACUGACGCUGAGGCACGAAAGCGUGGGUAGCAAACAGGAUUAGAUACCCUGGUAGUCCACGCCGUAAACGAUGAGUACUAAGUGUCGGGGUAAAACUCGGUACUGAAGUUAACACAUUAAGUACUCCGCCUGAGUAGUACGUACGCAAGUAUGAAACUUAAAGGAAUUGACGGGACUCCGCACAAGCGGUGGAUCAUGUUGUUUAAUUCGAAGAUACACGAAAAAUCUUACCAGGUCUUGACAUACUCUGCAAAGCUAUAGAAAUAUAGUGGAGGUUAUCAGGGAUACAGGUGGUGCAUGGUUGUCGUCAGUUCGUGUCGUGAGAUGUUAGGUUAAGUCCUAAAACGAACGCAACCCUUGUCGUUAAUUGCCAGCACAUAAUGGUGGGGACUUUAACGAGACUGCCAAUUAAACAUUGGAGGAAGGUGAGGAUUACGUCAAAUCAUCAUGCCCCUUAUGAUCUGGGCUACAAACGUGAUACAAUGGCUGUGACAAAGAGUAGCUGAAACGCGAGUUUUUAGCCAAUCUCAAAAAAGCAGUCUCAGUUCGGAUUGAAGUCUGUAACUCGACUUCAUGAAGUUGGAAUCGCUAGUAAUCGCGAAUCAGCAUGUCGCGGUGAAUACGUUCUCGGGGUUUGUACACACCGCCCGUCAAACCACGAAAGUUAGCAAUGCCCGAAAGCAGUAGCUUAACUUCGCAAGAAGAGGGAACUGUC
rnacentral:rRNA from 2 species